GACGAACCGUGCGAACGUUAUUCGGAAUCACUGGGCUUAAAGCGCGUGUAGGUGGGGCGGCACGUCGGCCGUUGAAAGCCCCCGGCUUAACCGGGGAAGCGGCGCCGAUACGACCGCCCUCGAGGGACGUAGGGGGAGCUGGAACUUCCGGUGGAGCGGUGAAAUGCGUUGAGAUCGGAAGGAACGCCCGUGGCGAAAGCGAGCUCCUGGACGUUUUCUGACACUGAGACGCGAAAGCCAGGGGAGCGAACGGG
rnacentral:rRNA from 1 species